rnacentral:rRNA from 1 species
AGCGAACGCUGGCGGCAGGCCUAACACAUGCAAGUCGAGCGGGCAUCUUCGGAUGUCAGCGGCAGACGGGUGAGUAACACGUGGGAACGUACCCUUCGGUUCGGAACAACUCUGGGAAACUGGAGCUAAUACCGGAUACGCCCUUAUGGGGAAAGGUUUACUGCCGAAGGAUCGGCCCGCGUCUGAUUAGCUAGUUGGUGGGGUAACGGCCUACCAAGGCGACGAUCAGUAGCUGGUCUGAGAGGAUGAUCAGCCACACUGGGACUGAGACACGGCCCAGACUCCUACGGGAGGCAGCAGUGGGGAAUAUUGGACAAUGGGCGCAAGCCUGAUCCAGCCAUGCCGCGUGAGUGAUGAAGGCCUUAGGGUUGUAAAGCUCUUUUGUCCGGGACGAUAAUGACGGUACCGGAAGAAUAAGCCCCGGCUAACUUCGUG